GAUGAACGCUGGCGGCGUGCCUAAUACAUGCAAGUCGAGCGAACAGACGAGGAGCUUGCUCCUCUGACGUUAGCGGCGGACGGGUGAGUAACACGUGGAUAACCUACCUAUAAGACUGGGAUAACUUCGGGAAACCGGAGCUAAUACCGGAUAAUAUAUUGAACCGCAUGGUUCAAUAGUGAAAGACGGUUUUGCUGUCACUUAUAGAUGGAUCCGCGCCGCAUUAGCUAGUUGGUAAGGUAACGGCUUACCAAGGCGACGAUGCGUAGCCGACCUGAGAGGGUGAUCGGCCACACUGGAACUGAGACACGGUCCAGACUCCUACGGGAGGCAGCCGUAGGGGAUCUUCCGCAAUGGGGGAAAGCCUGACGGAGCAACGCCGCGUGAGUGAUGAAGGUCUUCGGAUCGUAAAACUCUGUUAUUAGGGAAGAACAAAUGUGUAAGUAACUAUGCACGUCUUGACGGUACCUAAUCAGAAAACCACGGCUAACUACGUG
rnacentral:rRNA from 1 species